GACGAACGCUGGCGGCGUGCUUAACACAUGCAAGUCGAACGGAAAGGCCCUGCUUGCCGGGUACUCGAGUGGCGAACGGGUGAGUAACACGUGGGUGAUCUGCCCUGCACUUCGGGAUAAGCCUGGGAAACUGGGUCUAAUACCGGAUAGGAGCCAUUUUUAGUGUGAUGGUUGGAAAGUUUUUUCGGUGUAGGAUGAGCUCGCGGCCUAUCAGCUUGUUGGUGGGGUAAUGGCCUACCAAGGCGGCGACGGGUAGCCGGCCUGAGAGGGUGGACGGCCACAUUGGGACUGAGAUACGGCCCAGACUCCGACGGGAGGCAGCAGUGGGGAAUAUUGCACAAUGGGCGCAAGCCUGAUGCAGCGACGCCGCGUGGGGGAUGACGGCCUUCGGGUUGUAAACUCCUUUCGCUAGGGACGAAGCUUUUUGUGACGGUACCUAGAGAAGAAGCACCGGCUAACUACGUG
rnacentral:rRNA from 1 species